rnacentral:rRNA from 1 species
AGUACGGCGGAACACGAGAAAUUCCGUCGGAAUCCGCGGGGACCAUCCCGCAAGGCUAAAUACUCCCUAGUGACCGAUAGUGAACCAGUACCGUGAGGGAAAGGUGAAAAGCACCCCGGAAGGGGAGUGAAAUAGAUCCUGAAACCGUGUGCCUACAACAAGUCAAAGCUCGUUAAUGAGUGAUGGCGUGCCUUUUGUAGAAUGAACCGGCGAGUUACGAUUGCAUGCGAGGUUAAGUCGAAGAGACGGAGCCGCAGCGAAAGCGAGUCUGAAUAGGGCGAAUGAGUAUGUAGUCGUAGACCCGA